rnacentral:rRNA from 1 species
UACAUCGGAAGUACCCCGGAGUGGGGGAUAACGCCGCGAAAGCGGCGCUAAUACCGCAUAUGCUCUGAGGAGGAAAUGGGGGCUUCGCAAGAACCUCACGCUCUGGGAGCGGCCGAUGUCCGAUUAGCUAGUUGGUGGGGUAAUGGCUCACCAAGGCGACGAUCGGUAGCUGGUCUGAGAGGAUGAUCAGCCACACUGGGACUGAGACACGGCCCAG